AAUAACAACAGGAGACCACAGUUACUGCUGAAUGGCAUCUUUCAGGCUCAAGAGCUUCCGCAGUCUCUCCACUUCCAUACUGAUUAGAAGUGCUUGAGAUACAUCAUAACAGUGAUGAUGAGCACUGUCUGGGCUCCAGUUCGGCGGGCUUUGCCAUUCAGGCAUCCGGCGCAGCUGACAAGCCCGAGGAUCGAUGGAGAAGAGUUUGAUUACUCAGUCAAAACCUAAGUAUCCUGUUGGGAGAAGAACACUCAUUUUAGUGGCACUGUUCUAUUCUUUGGAUGAAUUGAAUAGUUACUAAUCCAGCCACAGAAGAAAGACACAGGAGAGGCUGAAACAUCACCUCUUGAGGGUCUCCUUUCUGGUGAUUUAUUCAGAUAUUGGCACAUGUGACUCAAUAAUGGCCAAUACUAUGUGAAGGGACAUCUUCUGGGGAGUCUUCCUCCUUUUCUUCCGGAUUCUUUGUGUCUGAAUGUGAUGCCUGGAGAUGCAACAGCAGUCUCACUACCAGCACGAGGAUGAAGCUGAUACCCAGAAAGCACAAGCAAGAAUGUGUGAGAAGAUCACAGAGACCUAAAGAAGGGGAAGGGAAGAACCCACAUGUGAGAGAGAAGAGAUUGUCUGACUUGGUGUUGCGCCUUAAAGCACUAUCCAAUAAACCUCCUACAUGCAAAUCUCCAUCUCAGAAUCUGUAUCCAAGAGAUUCUACUCAAGACAUCAUCUUUUCCAGUCAGUGUUCCUAAUUGCACUGCCCCUGGAAAACGCACGGAGAAGAAAUACAGCAAAAUACAUGAGAUGGUGAAACACUCUGGCAACUGCAAGCGGACAGAUGGGAUCUGGGAGGGACUCCCAUCUUCUGCAUGGCAUCAGCACAAGGGUGAAGAGGGAAGAUAAAGGAUCAUGCAGGGAGUUUCAUGGACUAGGCCUGGAAGUGCCAUAUUCCACUGCUGCUUGUGUUCCAGAAGGCAGCCGCACAGCCACAAGGGAUUGUAAAGGAAGCUGAAAAAUAUGAUCGAGCAUUGUGUCUGGGAAGAGAGGGAAAUGGGUAUGGUGCAUGACUAACCAGUGUUUGUCACAGCACAGAAAGUAAGGUAUAAAGGAAACAACUCACUCUGUAUUCCCUAAGACAGUUGUGCUAAUAGCAUUAGCAGAAUUGUUAAUGUUAGCAGAAAUAACAGUUAAUUGUUCAGGUGUAGAACCCCCAGGGUGAGCUGGGAAUUCUCUCUUGAAUGACAGUCUUCCAUUUUGUCUCUUCUUCUUAGUCUUUUCUGCCAUUGCCUUUGUUCAGAUCUUUUCUACCUUGUGUCCAGCUUGCUGGAACCUCCACCUUCCUGGCCUGAAAGAACUAGCUUGUGAACAUGUAUCAUGUUUGCUUUCUUCUGCAAGUUGGCUCAUACAUUUUAUUAUUACCUAAUGCUGCGUAAAAACUCAUUCCAAAACUCAGUGGCUUAAAACAGCAGUAAAUUUUUAUAUCUCUCCUGGUUUCUGUGGGUCAGGAAUUUGGGGAGCAGCUUAGCUGGGUGGUUUUGGUUUGGGGUUUCUCUUGGGGUUGAACUGAGAUAUCUGCUGGGCUCUGCAGUCAUCUGAAAACUUACUGGGGGCUCAAGGUGGUUCACACAUGUGGAUGGCAAGUUGGUACUGGCUGUUGGCAAGAUGUCUCAGUAUCUCUCUAAGCAGGCCUCUCUUCACGGCUGCUUGAGUGACUUCAUGGAAUGGUGGCUGAAUUCUCCCAGAAUAAAUGAUUCAAGAGCCAAGGUAAAGCCAUAUGCCCUUUAUAACCGGGCCUCGGAAAUCCCUCACUGUCACCUCUGCCAUACUCUACUGUUCAUGUGAAUGACCCUGAUUCAGUGUGGGAAGAGACUAUGCAGGGCAUAAUACCAGAAGGCAAAAAUCACUGGGGGCAAUUUGGGAGGCUGGCCACCACACAGACUGCAUUUCAACUAUGCACCUCCCUCAAUCUCAACUUUUUCCAUACUCUCUCACUUUCUCUUCCACUUUCUGUAUUCAGAUCAAAGCCCAUCGCUUCAUGAAGUAUGCCCUGACCACUCAGCAACUAGCACUCCCAUUGCAAUUCAUUGUUCUUGCCACAUAUAUGGUCUUUAUAAUUUAACACCCUGCUUUGAAGAUGUACACGUGUGUCUUUUCUUUCAGAUGGAAUUUAAAGAAUCGUACACUAUACUCCCUGUCAUAUAGUAGGCACUCAAUAAAUAUUUUUUCUACGGAUGAAUGAAUGAGUGAAUGAAGAGUACAAGCCAGAAUCCCUGUGUCCCUACCUGUGGGCUUUUCCCUUGCUGCUUGACCUUAGUGAAGUCACUCCACCUCUCAGUCUGCUAACUCCUUCAUAAAAUGAAGAUAAUUAUACCCACCCCAGCUGUCACAGACAUGCUUUGACAUUUGAAAGAGGCAGCACUUAUAAAAGUGUUUUCGAGUGUAUAAAGAACAGGGCAAGGUGGUGUUAGUUACCUGGUUCACAAGUGAUGGCUGACAUGUAUGGCACUGUCAUGGGAUUCAGAUCAGUCAAUCCCUCUGACUCCCGCCUCAAGAAACAGUUCACACCUACACCAAGCUACACAAAGAGUCUUUGUUCA
rnacentral:lncRNA from 1 species